AACCUUUCUGAGCUAUAAUCGAUUAGCCUAGCUUGAAAGUGCAUAAAUUAUGAACCUUUCUGAGCUAUAAUCGAUUAGCCUAGCUUGAAAGUGCAUAAAUUAUGAACCUUUCUGAGCUAUAAUCGAUUAGCCUAGCUUGAAAUGCAUAAAUUAUGAACCUUUCUGAGCUAUAAUCGAUUAUCCUAGCUUGAAAGUGCGGUCGGCUGUUUAAACAGGCUGCCGCUGUCGUUAAAUUAACUAAUUAGAAAAUCAUUGGAUAAAUUUAAAUUGAGCCGAUCAACUCAAUUUUAAACUUCUCCACCUAUAGCUGAUCAGGUUGUAGGUUGAUUUUUAAGUAGUUAAUUAAGAGAAAUUGGAUUGCAAGGAUUUAAAUGUAGGUAAGAAAAAAGGGGCCAUAAAAGCAUUUAAGGUUAUUUUGA